UGGCCGUACUAGGUUGCAUUAUGUUUUAUAAUGUUGUUGCUUUUUAGGUUUAGUAGUGAGAGCAUCUUCACUGUUUUGCUGAGCUUGUUUGUUUGUUGCCACAUUUGUCCUCUAGGUACUAUGAGUUUGAUAGUGUGUUUGCCAGGGAGGUGCUGGGUAAGAAACUCUCCAAAGGGACCAAAGAAGACUUGGAAGACAUCAGUUUUAAGACUGGGAUUGCACUCAAAAGCUGUUGUCGACAGUUUGACAAUUUCAAGCGUGUGUUUAAAGUGGUGGAAGAGCUAAAAGGCCCCCUGGUGGAGAACAUACAGCGUAAUUUUCUCCUGUCUGAUGUUCUGGCAAGGUGAGACUUUCACACAUGUGGUCAAAUGAAGCAUAUUGCUAGUGGUAAAGAGCAGCUGUCCCACCUGUUGAAACUGUGACUAUUUCUAACUUUCCAGUUCAUUGGAUGUAAAUCUGAGCCAAUCAUAAUAUUUCAUACCUGUUCUUGUAAUAAAGAUGAUUUAUAUGAGGUUAGGCUCUUCAGUACUGUAAAUGUGCUAUUGUGACUUAAUGCAACCAGCUUAGUUAUAAUUAAACUUACUUAAAUUAAAA